GAGGGUAUGGCUCAGUGGUAGAGCACCCACUUAGCGUGCCUGAGGUCCUGGGUUCCAUCCCCAGUACCUCCA
rnacentral:tRNA from 1 species